UGCAUUCACUACUGUAAGUCGCUCUGGAUAAUAGCAUCUGCUAAAUUACUAAAA
rfam:Salmo salar isolate Sally breed double haploid chromosome ssa16, whole genome shotgun sequence.